UUGGCUAAGAUCAAGUGUAGUAUCUGUUCUUAUCAGUUUAAUAUCUGAUACGUCCUCUAUCCGGGGACCAUAUAUUAAAUUGAUUUUUGGAACAGGGAGAUGGAAUAGGAGCUUGCUCCGUCCACUCCACGCAUUGACUCAGUAUUGCAGUACUUCUGAGAACGGUGCACCUCCUUUAUACAGUAGAAGAGCAGAAAAAAAAUCCGUUCGUGGAUGACUAGUGAUCAGGAUAUUUGCGUGGAAAAUAUGAAGAUACUGCAUACAUCUUUGAAAAGUUUAUGUGUUGUCACGCCACUCCAGCCCAGCAGGACAUUUCAGCUCCUCAGCAGCAAGGUGGAGCCAGAAUGUUUCCUGAACCCCGAGUGUGACUCUCCACACAUGGUGUUUCAGCUGUGCUCUGGAAAUGUAGCGGCAGCCAGCAUCCUCUUUGACAUGGACUUUAGCAUUGCCGGGUCCUUGACUCUGACGGCCUUGAUGAGUGGCUCCAGGUCCGCACGGCUGUAGGCCAUCACUGCCCCAGCCAGCGCAGACUUGAACACAGUCUACUUGGAGUGUGACUGUGCAGAUAGCUUCGUUAAACCAGUGGCUCAUGUCCAGACACACAACCAUCCCAUUGUCCACCCAAGGCUGGAACAAAGUCUCCACUGCUGUCGGGCCCUGUCCAUGGCAACAACCACAGUCCAUGUACAGGACUGGUUUUGGGGAUUGGUUGAUUGUCCAGCUGAAACUGUUCCGUGACUCCACGGCACAUCGGUUCCAGCUUCUUGGUGGACUCCUCGCAGGUCAGCACAAAAACUACUUGGGAGUGCUCAUUUCCGAUGCUGGUGAACCACUUGGCUGAGCAUUUACCCUCAGUACUUUGUUGAUGGAAUCCAUUUUCAGCACCGCGCCAAAAGUGGAGAGGAUCUUGCUCUGGUAAUCCUGCACGUUGUUGGCCUUCACCAGUAGGAGGGCGUGGCACAGAGGGAAGCUCUCUUGGAGGAGGUGGAGCCUGGAACGUGUGCCCUAAUGCAGAGGCGAUCCCUCUGGAUUCCUCUACGGUCAUGAGUGUGGUAUAUAGUUUCAUAUGUUAGAGGUACUCCUCAACGUGAUUCUUCUGUAUUUGCCGCCAUACCUUGACCAUAGUGUUCCCUUGGGUCUAGUUUCUCAGAAGGUGCAUGACAUUCUUAUCCACACCAUGCCUGUGAGCAGGGUCACCAUCGAUAUGUUGAGGUUGAGUUGGGCCACUACUUUAAAGUUUACUAAAAGCACACACAUGAUGUUCAGGAAUACUCAUUUGCUGGUGAGGAUGUCAGGGAACAUGGCUUGAUGAACCUUGCUAAUUUGCAAUAAAAUAGUGGGGUCCCACACAAGCCACUGAUGCAUUGUGCAAUCUCCUCUGCUCCGGGCUGCUUUAUUUACACGGUCCCCAGCACAAGACCUUGGUGAGCAUUGUGUACCAGUUGGACAGGCCACAGAUGUUAUGUACCUGAAGUACAUACAGUGGGAUUAAAACAAAUAAUCAACUGCAGCGGAUGACUUUCUAUGCUCCUUUUUUUUCCCCUUGCGUGUUUACAUACAUAGUAAUAACGAUUCAACUGUAAUGUAAUAACCAGCAUGCACAAAGUGAGUUAUACUCAGUGGUGGUAGCCAGACUUAGAGAAGUGCACGUUCUGUCCUGUACCCACACACAUCACAUCGACACUUCAGGGAGCACCUCCACACUCCAAUGGGGCACCACACAAAGAGCGGCUCCAAAAAAAAAAAAAAAAAAAGAGCUGCAGAGUUGGCAGAGCACCCCCGACAUAGCCAGGAAACUCUGGCGAGUAAAACCACAUGUGGGCUUCUUUAAUCACCUGGCGCCUCUUGAACAGACCGGCAUUGUCCUUGUAUGUUUAAACAUGACUGAACAACCCUCUUUCAGUGUCCUCUGAGCCAGGAAACACAAAACCAAUUUUAAACUAGAAGGGCACUUGGUAGAGUGCAUACCUCCCCCAAGCUAUAGACCCUUUUCAGUCACGUGACCUUCGUAAACGCGACCACCAUUUUGGACAUGUAGUGGACUUCGGCUCGAAUCAGUUUGAAUGCGAGGAAGGCGACAAACGAAAAACAUAAAAGAAAAAGGAGCGAGAUGCAGAAAACACCUUCACUAUCCAGCGACGUAGGGCAUUUACAGGGCAAGCAGAGGGAGAGGUAUUUGCAAAAAUUAAGGUUAGCAGGCUUAGAGAACGAUGUUUACCUGCUUCCACCAGGAUUGUUCACUGACGUACGCUCCGGCUUGCUCCCCCUCAAAUUAAGCAGCGCGCUCCGCUCAUUUAUGAAAAUAAAUAAAUGGAGAAAAAAAGGUUUCUGCCUUGUAAAAAUGUCCUCAAACGGUCUGGACAACACAGUGUACAACAACUAUGAACACCUAUGGCGUGGACAAGUUGGAGGGAUGAACUGUAAAUAAUAAAUCUGUAAAUAUGGCAUGUAAAUAGUUUUCACUUUUGACAUUUCAUUCUUAAUCAUGUUCAGUGAUAAACUAUGGUGCUGUGGCAUUGUCAGUAAUUUAUUCAGUAAGCUGAGCUGGAGGGAAGAAUCUAAAUAAUUGCAUCUCAUUGGACAAAUCAAGUUUUUUUUUUUCAUUACUUCAUUCUUCAUGUUCAUUGAUUGUAGU